rnacentral:rRNA from 1 species
AGAAACAGGAAGGUAAACCCCACUUGCUUGGGUGGAUUAGUGGCGAACGGGUGAGUAACACGUGAGUAACCUGCCCUUAACUCUGGGAUAAGCCUGGGAAACUGGGUCUAAUACCGGAUAGGAGCGCCUACCGCAUGGUGGGUGUUGGAAAGAUUUAUCGGUUUUGGAUGGACUCGCGGCCUAUCAGCUUGUUGGUGAGGUAAUGGCUCACCAAGGCGACGACGGGUAGCCGGCCUGAGAGGGUGACCGGCCACACUGGGACUGAGACACGGCCCAGACUCCUACGGGAGGCAGCAGUGGGGAAUAUUGCACAAUGGGCGMAAGCCUGAUGCAGCGACGCCGCGUGAGGGAUGACGGCCUUCGGGUUGUAAACCUCUUUCAGUAGGGAAGAAGCGAAAGUGACGGUACCUGCAGAAGAAGCACCGGCUAACUACGUGCCAGCAGCCGCGGUAAUACGUAGGGUGCGAGCGUUAUCCGGAAUUAUUGGGCGUAAAGAGCUCGUAGGCGGUUUGUCGCGUCUGUCGUGAAAGUCCGGGGCUUAACCCCGGAUCUGCGGUGGGUACGGGCAGACUAGAGUGCAGUAGGGGAGACUGGAAUUCCUGGUGUAGCGGUGGAAUGCGCAGAUAUCAGGAGGAACACCGAUGGCGAAGGCAGGUCUCUGGGCUGUAACUGACGCUGAGGAGCGAAAGCAUGGGGAGCGAACAGGAUUAGAUACCCUGGUAGUCCAUGCCGUAAACGUUGGGCACUAGGUGUGGGGACCAUUCCACGGUUUCCGCGCCGCAGCUAACGCAUUAAGUGCCCCGCCUGGGGAGUACGGCCGCAAGGCUAAAACUCAAAGGAAUUGACGGGGGCCCGCACAAGCGGCGGAGCAUGCGGAUUAAUUCGAUGCAACGCGAAGAACCUUACCAAGGCUUGACAUGUUCUCGAUCGCCGUAGAGAUACGGUUUCCCCUUUGGGGCGGGUUCACAGGUGGUGCAUGGUUGUCGUCAGCUCGUGUCGUGAGAUGUUGGGUUAAGUCCCGCAACGAGCGCAACCCUCGUUCCAUGUUGCCAGCACGUAAUGGUGGGGACUCAUGGGAGACUGCCGGGGUCAACUCGGAGGAAGGUGAGGACGACKUCAAAUCAUCAUGCCCCUUAUGUCUUGGGCUUCACGCAUGCUACAAUGGCCGGUACAAUGGGUUGCGAUACUGUGAGGUGGAGCUAAUCCCAAAAAGCCGGUCUCAGUUCGGAUUGGGGUCUGCAACUCRACCCCAUGAAGUCGGAGUCGCUAGUAAUCGCAGAUCAGCAACGCUGCC